rnacentral:lncRNA from 1 species
GCAACAACCCACUUCUUUUUAUGCUUCUGAGGAUGCCUGAUUAUACUCCAGACUCUCCAGGUGGUGUGGAGUUGUAUCCAAGUUCAGUAAUGUCAGCAAGCCCCUGGCGAUGUGGCUGGUUGGUCUGCAUGUGCAGUGACAGCUCAGGGCAAUGACCAUAUUGGCUUUUAGGAGCCACUGUCCAGAAAGCACAUGAUUGCCCCAGUGAUCUGAAGGCAUCCACAAAUUUGUACCAGAUGCUGUAGAUAUGUGGGGGAAACAUGUUCCCCUCUACGUGGGGUUAAUCUUAAUAAGGAGGUGCUCCGGCUCACCACACUCAUAAAAUGUACUUAACCUGUGCAAAACCCUAGGAGUUGGCAAUAUGACUUUCCCCAUUUUAUUGGCGAGAUUACAGGGACUCAGACAUAGGGUUUUUACAUGGUGAGUCAGGUAACCUCUGCUCAAACAAGGAUUUAGACUAAGGUGUUUCUGGCUCCUGAGCCCUCCCUCCUAACUGUCUCUCAUGCAUGCAUCUUUGUGCUGUUCUGCUUUAGUAGUUUAGGAUGGAUUCAUCAGAAUGGAAUUACUGAGUUUUUGUGCCUGUGUACAUAACAUUUUUUUUUUUUGAGACAGAGUCACCAUGCUGGAGUGCAGUGGCAUGAUCUCAGCUCAAACUGCAACCUUCGUCUCCCAGGUUCAAGAGAUUCUCCUGCCUCAGUCUCCAAGUAGCUGGAAUUAUAGGCGCACGCCACCACACCCUACUACUAAAUAUUUUUGUAUUUUUAGUAGAGACGGGGUUUCACCAUGUUGGCCAGGAUGGUCUUGAUCACUUGACCUUGUGAUCUCCCCACCUCGGCCUCCCAUAGUGCUGGAAUUACAGGUAUGAACCACCACGCCCAGCCACAUAACAGUUUUAUAGGUACCACUGCACACACUGAUAUGACAAUUUACAUCAUCUAACAAUGUUUUAUUUGCUUUCUGUAUGUGUGUGUGCACAUGUGUGUGUGUGUUUUCUUGUUUGUUUUAUAUGACAAUGAAUUUUCUUUGCUCUAGCAGAUGUCUCCUCUCUGGGACAUAAGGUGAAGGUCCAGGGGACGGGUGAGGCCGUCCUAACCCAGGUGGUGAUGCGUGUGCUCCAGUAGGGCAGGGUCCCCGUCUGACACACUCUCCCCUCCUUCCUUUGCAUUUAUCCAGUUCCUGGCACACAGAUAAAAUUCAAUAAAUAUUUUCAGAAUAAAACAGCUGAUUCUAACAGAUAAUCUUGGGGG